UUACGUUCAUAUCACGUUGAAACACCGGUUCUCGUACAGCCACCAAUGUUAAGCAACGGCGAGCCUGGUCAGUACUUAGAUGGGUGACCGCUUGGGAAUACUCAGUGCU